UUCAUCUGUGAGCUGCUGCUAUUGAUGGACCAUGUAGAAAAUGAAGGCGUUGUUAAUGGUGAGAUCAAGCGAGUAACUCAAGGAGAUGAUGAAGAGAAGGAAGAUAAGAUUCAGUUGGGUUCGAAUGGGUCCUGUGAUGGUUCGAUUCGAGAUGGGUUUUGGUUGAUUUUGCGAUUAAACGAAGCUGAGAUCACGAACAAGGGUUAAUUGAUGAUGCUCUGUUGAUUCAGUUGAUUUGGAGAAGAAUUGAAGGGUUUGGCUACAGAUUUGGAGUCAAGAAGGAAGAAUCAGUUGGUCGAUUUGCUGGUGCUGGUACUGAAGAUGAGCUGAAUCGAGAAUGGUUAUUGAAUUCGAAAUGGGUGUUGGAAGAUAAGAACAAUGCUGCUACCAAUUGGUCUAUGGUGAAGCUAAUGGGGUUGAUUGGUUUCAGUGGUGGUAUUCAUUGAAUGAAAUGGGUUUAUUGCUGUCCAGGAAAUGGAGUUUCAGCUGCAGUUCCAGUGGUCUGUGGUUGAGAAAUUGUAGUCAAGAAGAAGAUAGCUGAUGGUGUUGCUGACAUUGAGGUCUACAGGGAAUGGCAUGGCGCUGAACCUGCUUGCGGCAACGAUGGCGAUUUUGGUUCUGGCAGUAAUAUCAGUUGAAGAAUGGAGAUGCAAAUGGGUUUGAGGAGUUGAACUGAAGUGCAGGGAAUUGUGCUGCCACUCAAAGUGCAGAUGGAAUAACAAAGAAUUGAAGCCGGGAAAAUGAAUGAAUGGGUGCAAUUGUGAUACAGAGAAGACAAAGUGAUGCAGUUGAUGGAGUUUGAAGUUGAGAGGAAUGGCUCAAGUUCAUGGGUUGUGUUGAUUGAAUUUGAGUCUGCAGAAAUGAGUUGUUGCUGCCAUGGGGAAUCUGUGUGGAGCUCUGGGGAGAGAUUUCAAGUUUUGGAGAUGCAGCUUUUGUUUCUGUUAGUUGUGGUACUGAUGUGGAUUGAUGAAGCUGAAAGUGCAGGGAUGGAGGAAGUUGUGUGUUGGUAUUACGAAGGCUGCGAUGCAAUGCAAAGAGAAGUCGCUGGUGGAGCUGUGAAGUGUGCUGCAACUGGUGCAACUAAAGAUGUCGGAGCAGUGCCUGUGGAGAUAGAAACUCAAAUCUGAAGACAGUGCAACAAGAAUGGAAACCUUGCUGCAUUAGAUAUGUGUGUGACUGAAUGGGUAUGAAUGCUAGAUGAAUGUUAGGUUUGCAGGGGAGAAGAAAUCGGACAGAGUUGGCCUGGAAAUUGCCUGGAAAGAAAGGAAACUCUGCCAGAUUUUCUACUGAGGCGAGUUGACUCAGUGAUCCGAUCCGACUCACCUGAUCCAGUACAUACUCAGAUGGAGAUGGACCUGGCUAAUGGGCUGUCUGAGAUUCAGUUUUGGUAAUGGGCUAAGCUAGUUACGGGAGUUGAAUUGAAAGGAUAUAAAAGCAUGACCUUUCCUAUCUAUUAUAUUAUCUUUACUUCUACUUUGUUCUAGGGUUUAGAAACAUGAUAGAUUUUCUCUUCCUUCUUGUUAUGAACUCCAUUUAUAUGAGUAUUUAAUAUUAUUAUUGGUUAUGGAUUAA